rnacentral:tRNA from 1 species
GGCCGGAUAGUUCAAUGGAUAGAAUGGAAGUUUCCUAAACUUUAGAUUCGGGUUCGAUUCCCGGUCCGGCUAC